UGACCUCGGAUCAGGUAGGGAUACCCGCUGAACUUAAGCAGUUAUUGCAAUAAGCGGAGGAA
rnacentral:rRNA from 1 species